rnacentral:rRNA from 1 species
AUUGAACGCUGGCGGCAGGCCUAACACAUGCAAGUCGAACGAGUGGCAGACGGGUGAGUAAUGUCUGGGACACUGCCUGAUGGGGGGGGAUAACUACUGGAAACGGUAGCUAAUACGGCAUACCAUCGGAUGUGCCCAGAUGGGAUUGGCUAGUAGGUGGGGUAAAGGCUCACCAAGGCGACGAUCCCUAUCUGGUCUGAGAGGAUGACUGGCACCACGGGAACUGAGACACGGCCAAGACUCCUAGGGGAGGCAGCAGUGGGGAAUAUUGCACAAUGGGCGAAAGCCGGAUGCGGCAAUGCCGCGUGUAUGAAGAAGGCCUUCGGGUUGUAAAGUACUGUCAGCGGGGAGGCGUUACCUGCAGAAGAAGCAACGGCUAACUACGUGCCAGCAGCCGCGGUAAUUC